AUGACUGAAGGAAGGGUACAGAAACCAAGGAGAGUUACAGCAAAGCCUCCAUCUGAAAGGGUACAGACACCAAGGAGAGUUACAGAAACCAAGGAGAGUUACAGCAAAAUCGGGAACUCCCUCUCGUCGUCCCUUCUUCCACCAGCGAACCUCCCAACAGCAAAGCCUCCAUCUGGGAGCCGCCAAAUCGUCAACCCGACCGUCGUCUCCUCCUCACUGCCAGCCUCAGCCAGUGUUGCUGCCCCGGUCGUCGGCGGCGCCGAGGUCACUUGCCGGAGCAGGCUGCGCCACAUCUGUGGGCAGCUCGUGCCGGCACACGGGACACGAGUUACACAGCGCGAGCCAUUGCAGGAUGCAGUCCUGGUGGUAAAUGUGGCUGCAGGGCGUCUCCCUGGCCUAGUCGCCCAGCUCGAAGGCCUCCUUGCAGACGGCACAGUGGGAGUCGGCGCCGACGUUGCCAGGGCAGGCGGCGACGACGAUGGUGGGCAUGGACUCGACGGCGGCCUUGCAGGCCAGCGGGUUGUCGUAGGGGAGGAUGGCGCCGAAGCCGCCGGCCUCGAUCUGGGCGAGCUGCUCGAGGAGCCGCUCAAAUCCGGGCCCCAUGAGGAAGUCGGACAUGCUCUCGGGCAGCGGGCGGAGGCCGGAUCCGGCGCCGUCGUCGUAGAAGAGCUUGAAUCUGCUGCUGGCGCUGGGGGCCUCGUCACAGGGAGGGGCGGCCGAGCGCCGGAGCAUGAUGACCGGGUUGCACGGCGACCCCAAGCGGUCACCCGAGGCGCCACGCCGGCUCCGGCGGGGUCAGACCUCGUUGCCCUGUUGGGGGCGGAGGGCGCAACGGCCCUGCGCGGCGGCGGCGCGUCUAUCUACUCCAGGAAGCCGCCGUCGCAGCCGGGGCGGCAGGGGAGCUCGAGUAUCGGAUAA
rnacentral:rRNA from 1 species